rnacentral:rRNA from 1 species
UCGGGAAUUUUGGGCAAUGGGCGAAAGCCUGACCCAGCAACGCCGCGUGAAGGAUGAAGUAUUUCGGUAUGUAAACUUCGUAAGAAUAGGAAGAAUAAAUGACGGUACUAUUUGUAAGGUCCGGCUAACUACGUGCCAGCAGCCGCGGUCAUACGUAGGACCCAAGCGUUAUCCGGAAUUACUGGGCGUAAAGAGUUGCGUAGGUGGCAAGUUAAGCGGGUAGUGAAAUCGUGUGGCUCAACCAUACACACAUUACCUGAACUGGCUAGCUAGAGUGCGAUAGAGGUAACUGGAAUUACUAGUGUAGGAGUGAGAUCCGUAGAUAUUAGUAGGAACACCGAUGGCGUAGGCAGGUUACUGGAUCGCAACUGACACUGAGGCACGAAAGCGUGGGGAGCAAACGGGAUUAGAUACCCUUGUAGUCCCUGAGCGGGCUGGCAAGGCGCAU